CUCAAAGAUUAAGCCAUGCAAGUGGUNAAAUCCUAACCCGACAGUUUAAAUAAGUGUUAAAAUGCUACACACGAUGAUACUUUUUAUUGCGUAGUAGCGCACGCAUUAUUUUGUAUCACUUACGCAACUGCAGACAGCUGCUUAAUACAGUCUCACUUGUCUUGACUUGGCACACACACACCCUCAUCUCUCUGUCGCGAGAGAGACGGAUUCUCAACACGCUCACCCCUUUAUCAUUCUGCGCGAAUAUUUUACGUGCGGCAUGCUUUUGCGUUCCUCCGGGGACAAGACUGCUUGCUGCGUGCAUUUUAAACGCGCAUUUUGAUGGAACCCGUCUCUGUCGCGCCGAUGUGACAACCUUUUUCUCAGCUCACACACACUUACCCUCAUGAGAUUAAGAGCGACGCAUCCCCACGCACACGCGUGAUUUCUCUGUAACCAUUUCUGAGAGGCAAACGGUUACACGGUGACAUCUACGGAUAACUCAGGGAAAGUUUGGCUAAUACGUACGAGUACACACCCUCAUUUUUUCUUCUUACACGCACAGCCAUCCAAUCCGUAUCUACUCAGCACUCGGUGGGUAAACUCUGACUGGCGUUCGCGCCUCGUCUUUACCAGUUUACACGCAACAUGAGAGACAUCGAGCACGCAGGUGAAGACCGUGUCUUCGGACACGCUUCACAUCACGCUGAGCAGACUUUGCGAAGUUUACUUUGCGAAGCACGUCAUACGAGCAUCUACAGCAUCAAGUCACAGGGUUGGCAAGUGUAUUUUUGAACCUUCAAAGCAGUANCGCAUACGGAGGAAGUGUUUCUGAUCCCNUAGAAGGAGCACCGUACGAUGAGAGACCGCUCUUAGUUCUAAGGAACGCAGCAGGCGCGUAAAUUGCCCAAUGCUAGUACCCUUCUUUCACGAGUUGGCGAAACGCAUUAUCGCUUUUUACAAAAAAGCAUUUCGAACACGACAAUUUUCUCUGUCAAACGCUUUUUCUUACACACACAUCCUUGUUCCAUUGCUUUUUUCUAGUGAUAAUGAUUGCAACGUUUUCGUUCAUUCAUUUUUACUGAGGCAGUGACAAGCUGUAAAGAAUGAAUAUUUAUUAAUAAGAUAAUAUUUAGAAUUGUCGCUUUAUAUUAUAUUACUUAGUUAAUAUUAUAUAAGGCUUGAUAAUAUACUAAUAUUAUAAUGUAUUCAUUUUGAAUGCGGUGAAUAUAAUUACUUCAAAUAACAAUUAAUUAAUUUAACUUAUUAGUUUAAUUAAUUAAUGUAUUCGAAUUAUUUCAAGUGGAGGGCAAGUCUGGUGCCAGCAGCCGCGGUAAUACCAGCUCCACUAGUUUAUACAAUCAUUGUUGCGGUUAAGAGGCUCGUAGUUGGAUUGAAUAUACUUAUAUUAACAACACUGUGAACAAACCAGNNNNNNNNNNNNNNNNNNNNNNNNNNNNNNNNNNNNNNNNNNNNNNNNNNNNNNNNNNNNNNNNNNNNNNNNNNNNNNNNNNNNNNNNNNNNNNNNNNNNACUUAAGUUAAUAGUAGCUNUGCAUGUUUAAUUAUGGAAUAUUGCAUUAACUUAAUUUACUUAUACUAUAUAUGUUAUAUCUAUUAAUACUAUAGAUGGAGAUAGUUGGAGUUAAGAAUACUAUUAAGCGAGCGGUGAAAUGCUUUGACCUUAAUAAGAUUAACAGAAGCGAAAGCGUUUAACUAGAUUAUACUCUUUGUUAAUAUAAUAAUAUAACAGUAACACACACACAUACUAUAUAUAACUCACUGUAACUUACUUACUGUAACUUACAUUACUUAAUAUAAUAUACACACACAUAUUAACUUACUUAUAGUCUAGUGUAUUAUAUUAUUAACUUAACUUUACAAUGAAGAGCGAAGGUUAGGGGAACAAAGAGGAUCAGAUACCCUCGUCGUCCUAUUAUUACAUCAAACAAUGGGAAUUUAAUUGAAUAUUAAUCUUAUUAUAUUUAAUAUUAAUAUUAAUUAACCUAACCUAUUAAUUACUUUAUAAGAUUGAGUAUUACAUACUCUCUUAUAGUGUUAUAUUAAUAUAAGUUAAUUAUAUAUAUUAAUUUAACUUAAUAAUAUAUUAUAUUACUUACUCUAAUUAAUACUAAUAGUAUUAUAUUUAAUUAAGUAAUUAUUAUAUGUACUUUGCGCUCAAUAUUAAUAGGUGAGAUGUAAGUAUUAAUACAUAUAUUUAUACUUAUAAGUAUAAGUAAUUUAACUUAUAUAUAUAAGACAUAAAUAUAUUAAUAAUAAUUAACACAUAUGUUAAUUAUUAAUAUAAUGUGAUGCACGUUUUAGGUACUAGCUUACAAUAGAAAUAUUUAAAUUAUUACCCUCCUGGGGUAGUAUGUACGCAAGUAUGAAACUUGAAGGAAUUGACGGAAGGGCACCACAAGAACGCGUGGAGCAUGUGGCUUAAUUUGACUCAACACGGGAAAUCUUACCNGGUCCAGACAUAUUGAGGAUUGACAGGUGUUAAUAUAAUACACAGUAACAUAUGUUACUGUAAUAUUAUAUGUUAAAUAAGAUAGUCCUUUCAUGAUUAUAUGAUAGGUGGUGCAUGGCCGUUCUUAGUUCGUGAUAUGAAUUGUCUACUUAAUUGUGUUAAUCUAAUAAUAAUAAUAUAUUAUAUUAAUAGUUAAUUACUUANUGUUAGUUAUACUAAGUUAAUGUUCUGCUUAACAGUUUAUGNNAAGAUUAUUAAGUGAACUUACUUACUUAUAAUACUAUUAGUUUAAUUAUUAUUUAAUAUAACUUAAUAAUGAUAAGCAACGAACGAGACUUAUAAAUAUUCUUACUAAUAAGAUUAUUACUAUAUUAUAGUAAUAAUUAAUAUUAGAUUAAUUAUAUAUUGAUCGCUAUCUUAAUAAUAGUAUAUAAAUAGUAUAAAGUAUAAGCAAUAACAGGCCUGUGAUGCCCUUAGAUGUUCUGGGCUGCACACGUGCUACAAUAAAUAUUAUAUUAAGUAUAUAAUAUUACAGUGUUUAAUUAUUAACAUAUGUUAAUAAUAAUAUAACACACAUAACCUAUUUCGAAAGUAAAUGGGUAAUCUAUUAUUAAUAAUAUAUUACUCAAUUAAUAAUUAACUUAAUUAAGUUAUUAUUAUAUAAUUAACUUAUGGUUGGGAUAGUGUAUUGUUAAUUAUUACACUUGGCUUUNACUAGGAAUGCCUUGUAAAGUUCUAUGGUUUAUUAAACCAACUUGAAUACGUCCCUGCCCUUUGUACACACCGCCCGUCGCUCUUACCGAUGAAUUAUAUUAUAAAUCUAA
rnacentral:rRNA from 1 species